AAAUCUCAGCCUUUUGGCUAAGAUCAAGCACAGUAUCUGUUCUGACCAGUUUAAUAAAUGCAUUCACUUCUAGUAAAAUUAAAAGGGUAACAACAGAGAGUAAUCCUAUACACUUGUGAGAUUACUUCUAGAUUUCCAUUCUUAUGUAGUAUUCAGGAACAUUCUGACAAGGUGGAAUGUACUUUUU
rfam:Otolemur garnettii contig144717, whole genome shotgun sequence.